GGUCAGGUCAUGAUCUCACAGUUCAUGAGUUUGAGCCCCACAUCGGGCUCUAGGCUAAGGGCAUGGAGCCUGCUUGGGAUUCUCUCUCUCCCUCUCUCUCUCUGCCUCUCCCCUCC